AAUUGUUAAUUUUCCACAUAAAGGACUUGGUCAUUAGAGAGCAAACCAGGAAAGCAACAGAAACAAGAAACAGAUGCUUAUCAGGACCAACUGAUGCACAAAGCCAAACUGGCCUUUUGAUCACUAGCUGCCAUGCUCCUCAAUGACAUGAUGGCCCUGGAGAUGCCCUUCCUCCAUCAGAUGACCUGUGACUGCCUUUGUUCCUUUUCACCCUUCCCUGCUCUUGGUUUCAGGAUGGCCCAAAUAAGCUGGCCCAAAAACAUAACUUCUCAAGGGACAAUGUUUCAGUAGCUUCUUGCACAACCAGUCAGAGACCUCAAAAAUAAUGUGUCAAAUAAUCUAGGGCGCACUUUAUUCAAGUCUUUUCAACUUUGUCUGUUUUCAUUCUUUCUUUACUGUCACGAGGCACAUAAGAUGCAUUUUGAUUCCCAGCCCAUUUCUUUGUUGGGAGUAAAUCUGAUGUCAUAUUCCUAGCAGGUGUGGACCAUUAAGACUAGAUUGUUUUCAAGAUUAUGUACCUGAUAAAUGACUUCCAUCAUACCCUAGCAAUAUAACCAGCCCUUUAUAAAAUUGCAUGGUUACAGAGGGAGCAAUUUAAAGUCUUUGCUAGCAUAGGAGAUCAUCCAGUUCAAUGACUAAAUUUAUUAUAUUAAUAAGGCAAAGAGUGAAGCUUGGAAAUGUCAUCUGGUCUUAAGCCUUAGCAGAUAUGAUGAUCACAUCUGAUUAAUCUGAUGUGGUGCUUCAUACUAUGCUCAAAAGAUGAUAGAAAAUUGUGAUGGCAUUUACCUUUUUCUUGCAAAUUGCUCUUGAGAUAUUGCUACUUUCCAGGGAAAAUUCACUAAACACUCAUUUCUCAGAACUUGCUUCUAAAAUAUUCAAGUCAAUUCAACCCUUACUUUGGAGGAAACGACUGUAGUAUGUGCCAGGUAUUGGACUAGCCACUUGGAAGCCAAUGGUGUGCAAAAUAUUCCUACUUCCUUUUCUCAGGAAGCACAGCAAAAAAGAAUAGAAACUCUGACGGAAUUGCUAUACAGAGUUUGCUGAAUAUUUUAUUUGUGUCCCUUCCCUCUGAUCCUCGCUCUACCUUUUCCAACCCUCCUUACCCCUGAAUGCUGACCUGGAUGAAUAUUGCCAUGGUUAAUUUUAGGCAUCAACUCAGAUAAGAAUGGUUGCCAGUUGCUUCCUCAAAUACCACCUGGAUGUUGCGAUUGGUGAGAGUAGUUUUUUAGAUGUGAUUAACAUUUCAAAUAGCACACUUUGAGCAAAACAGAUUACCUUCCAUAAUGUGGGUGGCUUCAUCCAAUUAGGUGAAGAUUUAGGGGAAAAGACCAGAAUAUCCCAAGAAGGAAGGAAUUCUGCCUUAAGACUAUCUUUAUAUCCCAAGAAGGAAGGAAGGAAGGAAUUCUGCCUUAAGACUAUCUUUAGACUCAAGACUGCAACAUCAACUCUUCCUUGGAUUUCCAGAUUGACAGCCUACAGACUUUAGACUUGCCAGUCCCCACAAUCACAUGCAGAAAGGAGCUCAGAGAGAGGAAGGAGAUGGCCCCUUCCUGUGGGGCCAUGGGUUAGCAAUGACUGCAUCCCUCCUGCGCAAGGCCAUGGCACCUGUCCAGUGGCCCUUUCUUAUGCUAAUGUUAUGGGUCUUCCUUUGUGUCCUGGUAUCCACUCUGUCCUCUUAACCUCAGUCCCAGGAGCUGAAAGGAAAUUGAUUAAUCAUCUAGCUCAGCCCGGAUCCAACCCUAUUUUCACACUGAAGAAGCUAAAUGCAAAGAGAGGAAGAGACUGCACAGGAUUACACUGGUAGCAACAGAACUGAUUCAAGAACCCAGGGGAAUCUAAAAUUGUUAAGGUGGAAUUUUAUGACUCAGACCGUGACUUCAAGAGUAUCUUAGAUAAGAAUUGUUUUGGACAAACUAUAAAAGAAAUUAUUUAAAAGUUACUCUGCAAAUGAAAAGAAAAGUCCCACUGAAGAGCUCCUGCUCACUGGAGAAGCCAGCAUUGUACUUUAUCCUUAAUUUGCUCUAGUUAUGGGUAUUUACUCUCCAAAGCAUUGGUGGACUAUCCUGUUAGAAGCAUAUACCUAUCCGCACAAACACUUAUGACUCUGCCUAAAUGCAGAGGUCUUUUCCUGCUAUGAUAAAUACUAUCAACAUAAAUACUUUCAACAGAUAAUGCAACUACGCCUUUGACGGCAGUCAAUGUUUAAUGAACUAGUAAAACCACCCAACCAGUUUACAUCUGAGCAAAGAUCUGUGCCUUUAUACUUUAAUAUUGUUUAUCAGUAUCAGAGGCUAUCUUAACAUUUGUAAUGGCCCCAUUUCUGAUAAAUUGGAUAAGACUGUCAAAAUAAAAAUGUGUUUAUGAAUACAGAUCUUAAUAUAGCUAUAAUUGUUUACAUUUAGACAAUUAUUCCCUAUCAUUGUUUUUAGGACUUUGGAGUAAACACAUAAGAAACUAUAGCAUAGCCAAGAACCAAAAGUAGACUUUUUGUAGGCUUAUAAAAAAUGUGUCCAAAGGAACUUAGCAGCUACCCACACUCAAUUCUCAUAAGCCACUGAACAGCUGACAGGCAUCCCUGAGAUAUUUCUAACUGUCUUGCCUGGAUCCAACCCACUGAAGCAGCUUCAGCUCCACUUGCUAAUCCCCUGAACCCUGCAGCCCUCCCACACUACAGAAGUGAGGUCCUUUUCUGGCUUCCUGCUGGCUCCAGGGGAAAAAGAGUUCAUUUAGGUCUAGAAAGCCUAGGGAUCCACCUGAACCCCAACACCACAAAAGGCUGUCCCCAGCCAAGGGCACAGUCAGCAGCUCAGCAUUUAAGUGCUCCUUAGAAAAGGAGCAGAAGCUCUAGCUCAACUGGUAAUAUUGCCUCUUUUCUUUUCCUUCCCUCCUCCAGGGCCCUACCAUUCCUGUCACACACUUUUAAAAUAUAGAUUAAAAGCUUGUGAUUCUAUUUUUAGUUAAACUGUAUUUUGUCAGCUUCAAUGUGGUUUUCUCCCAGACAUCAGUGUGGAGGUGCUUGUGAUUUAUCAUCAGAGUCACAGGAGAGCAGGAACAUGAGUUUCCCAAGCGCACUUUCUUCAUCACAAGAUUUGAAUGUGUUUUUCUGGGAAGAAAAUACACGUUCAUUUAACAUAGAGGAAGCAGGCCUUCCCCUUGGCAUUUUUAUCCUCAGGCUGCACAGGAAAUCUAUCACCAGAGGAACGUGAUUUGCCCGGAUUGUGCAAAGCCCAACAGGUGUUCUAGGAGGGCCAAAUCCUGUGCAGUUUCAAAUGCUUUUAAUCAGCCAAGAAGGCAGAGAGGGAAGGAAGGAGGGAGAGAAGGAGGAAGGAAGCUCACAUUUCCAUACAUUACAUUUAUCCAACCUUUAUGAGCUCAAUUGACCUCUAGGUCAGAGUCCAACAUAUUGAGGGGUAAAGGAGUUAACAUGUGAUGAGUUUUUGCUGUGUGCUGAGUCCUUUACAUAAUUUUUAAUAAAAAUUCCAGCUUACACUUCUUAAGCUCUUAUGUCAGGCGUUAUAGAAAGCAUUUUCUGUGCUUUCAGUGGUUUAAUGCUUAUAACCAUCCAGAAAGUAUUUUUGUUCCUGUGUAAAGAGGG